rnacentral:ncRNA from 2 species
AAAAGGAAGUCCGGUGAAACCGGCACAGGCUUGCCCCUACUGUAUGCGGGUACGAAUGAUGACCAUUGUUCUUUCAAAGAAUGAGAAGGUCUCAGAGUAGAAUGAUCCGUAAGUCAGGAUACUU